CAGAAAUGCAUUAGACUCAUGCCAGACCUCCCCGUCCCCGUUCGAGGAGAAACUGAUUUGGCAGCUAACGUGAUAUUCAUGAGAUUCCUCAUGCAUGCCCUUGCCUUCUCCUUGGAUCCUUACAACAAGGCUGCUGGUAAAUCAUUUAGAGUUUGUUUGUUUGAUUACUUUGUUUGGAUGACUCAGACGAGCAGCUCGGACGAGAUCUACAGUAUCAUCACAUGUUUAACAUAGAUAAUGUUGGAUCAAUUCCUGGGUCACACUCAUAUACAUUGAUUCGUAGUGUUGUAUUACAUGCUUAAUUGCAUUGUUUCUUGGCUAUAUGUAGCACGUAUAUAGUAUCGUUAGUCACUGCUUAGUGUUUUGGUUUUUGGUGGCAGAGUUGCUUUGUUUGAUUACUUUGUUUGGUUGACUCAGAUGAGCAGUUCAGAUGAGAUUUUGAGUUUGAGCUGAUGUUUUAACAGAGAGAGAAUAUUGGAUUGGAUCAAACCACACUAUACCAUUUUCAUCUCAAUUUGCAAUGCAAUCAUAUCAAUUCAUGUGA